rnacentral:rRNA from 1 species
AUUGAACGCUGGCGGCAGGCCUAACACAUGCAAGUCGAACGAGUGGCGGACGGGUGAGUAAUGUCUGGGAAACUGCCUGAUGGAGGGGGAUAACUACUGGAAACGGUGGCUAAUACCGCAUACCAUCAGAUGUGCCCAUAUGGGAUUAGCUAGUUGGUGGGGUAACGGCUCACCUAGGCGACGAUCCCUAGCUGGUCUGAGAGGAUGACCAGCCACCCUGGAACUGAGACACGGCCCAGACUCCUACGGGAGGCAGCAGGGGGGAAUAUUGCACAAUGGGCGCAAGCCUGAUGCAGCCAUGCCGCGUGUAUGAAGAAGGCCUUCGGGUUGUAAAGUACUUUCAGCGGGGAGGCGUUACCGGCAGAAGAAGCACCGGCUAACUCCGUGCCAGCCGCCGCGGUAAUUC